rnacentral:tRNA from 2 species
GCGCGGUUAGUAUAGCGGUCAGUACUCUCGUUUCCCACACACGUGCGGCGAGCACAGAAUAACGAGUGACCCGGGUUCGACUCCCGGACUGCGCA